AAAGUGAAGCCGCGCCGUCAUCUUCAUCUUCACUUUCGAAUCUGCCUCCGUCGUUCAUCUUCAUCGCACCCAGCCUUCAUUGCCUUCAUCGUCAUCUAUAUCACUGCCCUUCCUCUAAUUUUUUACCUAGUGGACUAGUGGUCUCCCAUCCCCCCCCACCGCCGCAUUGAGAAAAUUGCCGUUCAUUGCGUUUAAGGUCCACCGUCGUUCAUUCGCAGUUCAUUACAGUGGUCUUCCUCGAGCUUGCCGUCGCCGUCACCGUCACCGUUAGUAGUCUUUGUCUUGCUCGACGCUGCUUUGAAAGGGUUUUGAAUGGCUUUUCCUUGAAAGGUUGAGAAAACCCUAACCUCCAUCACGCCGCCAUCUAUCUCACCGUCGCCACCCUUCGCGCUCAAGAUCGCAACCAGGUUCGUCGUUGUGUUAGCCAGCUUGCCAUUCCUCUUGCUGUUUUGCUUGUCGUCCCUCUCACCGUUCUGCUCGUCGUGCUGCUUGCCCCUCUCUCGCAGUUCUGCUCGCCGUGCUGCUCGAAGAACCUAUGGCCAAAAGCAAUUGUUCUAAUCAUAACGCCUCCUCCAAUCGACGAAGUUGCACGUCUUCAAUAUCCAUAUACAGACAACCCACAGGGUCUUCCUGAGAGAACAAACGAACCUGCUGGCGAGUAUGCUAGAGCAUGCACUGCUGUGGCUGCAGAAUGUGGAGUCCCUGUGAUUGAUCUCUGGACCAAAAUGCAGCAGUGCCCUGACUGGAAGAAAGAAUAUCUAAGCUUCAAAUGAUGUUUCAUUAACAAGUUUAGGUCAAUGCGGCUCUCAUGGGGUUUCUAGCCGAGAUAAUUCAAGCGAAAGCAAAUUGAGAGAUCUCCUCGACGACUCGAAAUAUGUGCUUACUUUUGGGAGCAUAUUUAAGUUACAACCUCGAACUAAAAGAAGGGUAGAGUUCGAUGAAUGAGGAUCCAACCUCAUGUUAUCUGCUCUAAGCUUCUCAUUUUCUGCUCUAAGCUAUGAGUUCUCACUUCUUUUAGUUUGAGACUGCAACAAAAUUUUAGUUAUUCAAACACAUACACUUUCUUUUUAGUUUGCUUUAUCAACACUACAUCCAAUUGUAUUAAAAUUUACCUUCACUUGAGUGCAUUUGCCUCUUUGAAUAUUGAGGACUCUGUAUACUAGUACUGCAGUUUGCUGGUUUGCAAAUUGCAAAGAAUACCUUAUCCUUAUUUGUAUUUUGCUUUGUAGAGUAAGUACUAUUUACUAUGCAGGGUCUGAUCUCUAUGUUAGCCAUAGCAACUCAGUUAAAUGCAAUCACUACUACAUCUGUUAGUAUGUAAUGCACUAAUGCAGUCAUCAUUCAUAGAAAUGAGAAAAUUUUAUUUACAAGUAUUCCUAUUUUACUAUUGGAUUUGUGUCCUUGAUUCAUAUGUUACUAACUGGUUUUUUUAACAAAACUAGUGUUAUAUAUACAUGAGGGAUUCCAACAUGUUUUCUUCGCUAUAAGUUCCCUCUCCUAUCUGAUUUGCCAAAGUUGACACAAAUGGCAACAUUUUCUUGGGUUCUCUUUUCUUUCUUUCUUUUUUUAAAUUUUAAUUGAAUAAGAAUUAAAUUCUAAAUCUUUUAAGUUAUAAGAACCUUGAUAACUAUUAAUAUAUAAUAAGCAACCAAUGAUAUUAGAGAGUUUUAGCGCCCUUCAAGGAAUUUCUGGCUCCUAGAAGUUUCUGAUACACAAGGCAUAUGGAAGUCCGAAUCACUUGCCUUCUGCACACACUAGGUACUUUAUUUCAAAAAGUAAAUUUUUUAAAAAUAAUUAUCUGUUUUUGUUUUGUUAGUUCACGAGUAUAUUUUCAUGAUUUGACAGAUCACAUAAUGAGACUUAUUUCUCCAUACAAAUAAUUGUAUCAUCUUACUCUAUUUCCUUCAAUUCAUCAUAUUCUAUUCCAUUUCAUAUAGAUUAUAUGCAUGUGUAAAAUAAAAACACACACUAUCCAUGAAUGGUAAUUUAAUUACAUUUUUUUAUAGAAAGGAAAAGUCUCCGCAAAGUAGGUAAAUUAGUAAUGAGGACUGUAAAGAGCUCUGUGGCUAAUUUGGUUUGUUGAUGUUGUGAUACAUCAUGCAUUUGAGACUGUUGGUUGCUUUUGUAGCACAUAAACCUUCCAAAACAAGUAUUCUAAGAGGAUGGUCAUUCAAAACGCAAGCCAGUGCCUAUUAGGGAAGCAAGCAAACUAGAAUGGAUCCAUAUUGGUUUAUUGAUGUUCACUGCCAAUUUGCACAGGUAUAAAAUUAUUGGUUUGUAUACUGGUGUUAAGAUUUGUAGCUGGACCAAGUCACAGCUUCGAGGACGGUGUGGUUGCUACAAGCAUUCAUUCAAUGGUAUUGAGAGCCAUAGAUUGAUGUUAUUGCUAGCUUCGUGAGUGAGAGACUUGUUCGUGAGAGGAUAGGUCCAGCAAUGUUGAGUGCAAUUCAAAGUUAGGUAAUUUAAUUUGCAUUGCAUAAAAAAGUUCAAGGGAUUAGUUACUAUUACAUUGAUGAAUUGGGAAAUUUUGUUUGUGUAUUCACUUGUCUUUGCCGAGACCUCGUACUCUUUCUUCUUAUCUUAAUCUCAGAUGGGUGCUGUCGAAACCGGUUUUGAUGAAGUUUAAAACAUCUUUGACACUGGUGGUUCAAAAUGUUUAUCUUGAAAUUUGGUGAAAAAAUUCCAAUAAUCAAAAUUACUAGUGACAACAAUGUUGAUGCUUCUGGUGAAAGAGCGUCUUGUUCAGUUUGCCUCCAGGACUUUUAGCUGGGAGAGUCAAUUAGAAGCUUGCCCCAUUGUCAUCACAUGUUUCACCUUGCCUGCAUAGACAAGUGGCUGUUUACUGUCUGUUUUUUCGAUAUUCAUAUGAUCAUACUUGUAGAUUAUUUGUGAAGUGUUGUAAUACUUGCCAGAUUAUUUGAAUAUUAAUGUAAUACUAAUUUUUAUUGAUUAAUUUUCUUAAAUGACAUUCACAUAUUUUUGUCA